AGUGAACGCUGGCGGUAGGCCUAACACAUGCAAGUCGAACGGCAGCACAGUAAGAGCUUGCUCUUACGGGUGGCGAGUGGCGGACGGGUGAGGAAUAUAUCGGAAUCUACUUUUUCGUGGGGGAUAACGUAGGGAAACUUACGCUAAUACCGCAUACGACCUACGGGUGAAAGCAGGGGAUCUUCGGACCUUGCGCGAUUGAAUGAGCCGAUGUCGGAUUAGCUAGUUGGCGGGGUAAAGGCCCACCAAGGCGACGAUCCGUAGCCGGUCGGAGAGGAUGGUCGGCCACACUGGAACUGAGACACGGUCCAGACUCCUACGGGAGGCAGCAGUGGGGAAUAUUGGACAAUGGGCGCAAGCCUGAUCCAGCCAUACCGCGUGGGUGAAGAAGGCCUUCGGGUUGUAAAGCCCUUUUGUUCGGAAGGAAAAGCAGCAGGUUAAUACCCCGCUGUUCUGACGGUACCCAAAGAAUAAGCACCGGCUAACUUCGUG
rnacentral:rRNA from 1 species